UAGUACUUCAUGCAUGUGCCGUAAGAUUCGAUAUGACAGAGAAUCUUGAAAAUUUUUUGGUUUUUAAGGUGAACUAAACAAGGCUUGAAUCAGGAGAUGUCGGUGUUUUUACUACUAGUUGUGAUUAUAGAUCCUGUUAUGUGUAGCAAAGCUACUAGAGGCUUCCACAUAUAAGACCCUGAUUGAUGGUGUUUUACAUCUAGUGUAUGAUGUAUGAUGGUGAUUGUAUUGUUUGUGCCCUUAUGCAAACUAGUAUAUUGCCGUGCUAACGCUACGGUGACAUUUAGAAAAAAAUUACAAAACUAAAAUAAAUCAUAGAACUAAAAAACAAACCUACCCCACUAAGAAAAAAAGUCUAUAUGAAAAUUACGGUACUUCAUUUGGGAACAUAUAUUUGGUUUUAACAAAUGCUAUGUAGAAAAGUUGACAAACACAGCUGAUCUAUAAAUGCCUAUCAUUUGUCUUGUAACCUUGGUAACAAGUCUAUAAAAAAUAAGAUACUUGAUUGUAGUUAGUGUAGACGUAUACCUACAUUAUUGGACAAACAAGCAAGAAAAACAAAAUUUUAGAGAUCGAUUAAAGAAAUAAUUAAAUAAAAAAUGCCUGACAAAAUCAGGCACCUAUCUUCAGUCUAUCACGCAAUGCCAAGAAGCCAAGCAAACACUAAACUAUACACAAGGCUAAAGGGAAAUUAAAAUACUCCUGUUCAGAAGUUUCAGAUGGUCUAGAUCAUUGUACAAAACUGCU
rnacentral:lncRNA from 1 species